AAGUAACCAAGAUUAGACGGCAGCCAC
rnacentral:sRNA from 1 species